rnacentral:lncRNA from 1 species
UACUGAACUUGUUUGAUUUCUGAUUUUAUUUCAGCCGAUAUGUCAAAAUAUCUACUGAAACUGAAGAAACUGAAGGAUCCCUACACUGCUGUAAGGACCAAAAUAUUAAUGGGAAUGGCCCAAAUGGCAUACAUGAAGAAGGCUCACCAAGUAAGACUUUUCUGUUAAAUUGUAAAAUGUUUCACUUAAAUAAUUGCUUCAGAGAGAAAGUUAAGAAAAUGGGAAUUAAAGAGCUAAAAAAUACCUGCAAACCUACAACUAAUAAUAUUAAUAAUUUAAAAAUAUAACAUUGGGUUUAUUUAAAGUUCUCUAAUAUCUAAAAUUAGGUGAAAUGGAAACAGAUGAGCCAGAUGAUGAAUCCAGCCAGGAUCAAGAACUUCCCUCAGAGAAUGAAAACAGUCAGUCUGAAGAUUCAGUUGGAGGAGAUAAUGAUUCUGAAAAUGGAUUAUGUACUGAGGACACUUGCAAAGGUCAACUCACGGGACACAAAAAACGAUUGUUUACAUUCCAGUUCAACAACUUAGGCAAUACUGAUAUCAACUACAUCAAAGAUGAUACCAGGCAUAUAAGAUUUGAUGACAGGCAGCUUAGGCUAGAUGAAAGAUCUUUUCUUGCUUUGGAUUGGGAUCCUGAUUUGAAAAAAAGAUAUUUUGAUGAAAAUGCUGCUGAGGUAAGUCAUCACUCACUCACUCAUUUACCUUUCCUUGAUUUACUUUAUGUGAUUACCAGAGAUAAUCAUACUGUUGUGUUACAUUCUUUGCUUCCACCAAAUGUUCAUUUUGCCAGUAAAAAAUUGGUCAUGAACUAAAAAAGAAAGUCUUUGCAAAAAUACCUUUUUUUUUCAAAGGUUCAGAGUUCAUUUUGAACAUGUGUUGCUCAUCCAUAUAGGAGUGUACAGGAAUUAUUUAGAAGUAUGAUAUAAAUCUCGGCCGGGCGCGGUGGCUCAAGUCUGUAAUCCCAGCACUUUGGGAGGCCGAGAUGGGCAGAUCACGAGGUCAGGAGAUCGAGACCAUCCUGGCUAACACGGUGAAACCCCAUCUCUACUAAAAAUACAAAAACUAGCCAGGCGAGGUGGCGGGCGCCUGUAGUCCCAGCUACUCGGGAGGCUGAGGCAGGAGAAUGGCGUAAACCCGGGAGGCGGAGCUUGCAGUGAGCUGAGAUCCGGCCACUGCACUCCAGUCCAGGCGACAGAGCGAGACUCUGCUUCAAAAAAAAAAAAAAGUAUGAUAUAAAUCUCAACUGAAAUAAGCUUUAUGAUUCUUUUGAGAAAGUUUAGGAGUUUUCAUUAUUAUUCAUAGUAAGAUGGUACCACUAAAAUGAGUUUUGUUUCAUUUGUUCUCUUAACUCAAGAAAUACUUCUCUUUAGGACUUUGAAAA